rnacentral:rRNA from 1 species
AUGUCCUUAGCUGCUCAAAACUGGAGCAAAGUACCAAAGUUAGAGAAAGAGAAGUUGUGGGAUUCUAUCCAGGCAUUUCUCAACAUUGACGAGUCAUACAAAAGAUGGGUGUUGAGAUCAGCAAGUAAAAAACGGAAAGACUUCAAGGUUGUUUUAAAGAGGAAAUACUACAAAGCUGAUUUGUCACGAGCAUGGAAUAUUCUUAAUGGUUGUGAUAAUAGAAUCCCAAUUAGACAGUGGGAGUGGCUAGUAAAACACUGGAGAAUAGAGAAAGCUAAUGAAAAAUCUGAAAGAAACAAGGCUACUCAGGCAUCGCAACUCGAGGGAUGCAAUGGGACCCACACCGCUAGGUCACGAAGUUUUGCAGUUGUCCUUGAUCAAAUGGAGAUGGUAGAGGGUAGGGAAAUUGGGCGUGCCGAGCUUUACGUGGUUACAUAUACGAAAAACAAUGGAUAUCCAGUCAACCAACAAAGUGGAGUAAAAAUGGAUGACAUUAAAAAAGGAUUCAAGCAGAUCCUUAUUUGA